rnacentral:rRNA from 1 species
CCUACGGGGGGCUGCAGUGGGGAAUAUUGGACAAUGGGGGGAACCCUGAUCCAGCCGUGCCGCGUGUGUGAAGAAGGCCCUCGGGUUGUAAAGCACUUUCAGUGAGGAAGAACGCCUGGUGGUUAAUACCCAUCAGGAAAGACAUCACUCACAGAAGAAGCACCGGCUAACUCCGUGCCAGCAGCCGCGGUAAUACGGAGGGUGCGAGCGUUAAUCGGAAUUACUGGGCGUAAAGCGCGCGUAGGUGGCUUGAUAAGCCGGUUGUGAAAGCCCCGGGCUCAACCUGGGAACGGCAUCCGGAACUGUCAAGCUAGAGUGCAGGAGAGGAAGGUAGAAUUCCCGGUGUAGCGGUGAAAUGCGUAGAGAUCGGGAGGAAUACCAGUGGCGAAGGCGGCCUUCUGGACUGACACUGACACUGAGGUGCGAAAGCGUGGGUAGCAAACAGGAUUAGAUACCCCAGUAGUC